rnacentral:lncRNA from 1 species
CUUUAAUUUAUGAGAUAAUACGGUAUUUUGAUUAGUCGCCAAAUUUAAUCCGCGGGAUCGGAGCAAAGACCGUUGAAAAUAUUUCAACCUUUUAUUAUUUAUUGUCGCCGGAUCAAUCGGAACCAUAAAAUACUACAAAUCAAAUCAAAUCAAUUUAUUCGCCAUUAAAGAAAAAGAUAAAAAAUGGUUACACAGAAUUAAUAAAAUAUGAAUAAAGGCAAGGUAGCCCAAAAGAAACCAAAAGGCUUAUUUAUAUUGGGCUCCUUUGUUAAUAAAUAAGCAAAAAGAAAUAGAUCUGGAGGCAAUCAGUCACAAAUUAUAUAAAUUAAAUAAUUACAAAAGUUAUAUUAAUUACACAGAGAACGAAAAGUAAACACAAACAAACUGACACGUAUUCUACUAAUAGAAGAACUAAGUAAGGAAUUAUCAAAUCAGCAAUAAAAUAAUAGCGAUCCAUGUUCAUUAACAAGACGAUAUUAAGACAAAAAUAAAAAAUGCUUUAAUCUAGAUUGGAAUAAAGAAACACUUGGCGCAUCACGAAUAUCACCAUCAAGAGUAUUAAAAAACUUCGGAGCUUGAAAAAUAGCUGAAAAUUUCCUGAUAUUUGUCCUACAGAAAGGUAUAUGAUACAAAUGUGAAAAACGUGUAUCAUAUUUAUGAAUUUGAUUCAUACGAGGAAACAUAUUAUCAAAACUACUAGGGAGUAAAUUAUUAUGAUAUAAGUACAUAAAUUUACCAAGAUGAUACAAAUAGAUUUUAUCAAAUUUUAGAAUCUUUAGUUCACUAAAAAUGGGAUCAGAAUGUGCGUCAAAUGGUUCUUUAUUCAAAAUUCUCAUAAUACGCUUUUGAAGCAAAAUAAUACGUUUUAAAUUUGAUGGGUAAGUAGAACCCCAAACAGUGAUACAAUACUGUAAAUAGGGAUAAACCAGCGAAAAAUAUAAUUUACAUAAAGAAGAUUUAGAAAGAAAAAAACUAGCUUUGUAUAUAAUGCCAAUACAUUUCGAUAUUUUUCUAGCAACAUGAGAAAUAUGAGGUUUCCAAGAAAUAUGUUCGUCUAGGAUAACACCAAGGAAAACGACCUCUUCAACCCUAUCAAUCACCAAACCAUUUAUCAUUAUAGAUAAAUCAUUAUGCAUUAUUCUUUUCUGUCGGGGUUUAAAGAUCAUAUAAUUAGAUUUCUUAGUAUUUAUCGGCAACUUAUUAGCCUUGAACCACUCAGAUAACCUUUCAAUCUCGCAAUUAACUAUAUUCAUUAAGGAAGAGAAGUCAUUAUGCGAAAAAAAUACAUUUGUGUCGUCAGCAAACAAAAUCAAUUCUAAAAUAUUAGAAACAUUGCCAAGGUCGUUGAUAUAUAGGAGAAACAGGAGUGGACCAAGGAUAGAACCUUGAGGCACUCCACAUUGAAUAGUUUUGUAAGAGGAACAUGUAUUAUUAUAUUGAACAAAUUGCAAUCGAUUGGAAAGGUAACUUUUCAUCCAUGUAAGCGCCACUCCUCGGAUGCCAUAAUGCCUAAGUUUAUCAAAUAAAAUUUCAUGGUCUACCGUAUCAAAUGCCUUAGAAAGAUCUAGAAAAAUUCCAAUCGUAAAUUCUUUUUGAUCAAUAGCUGAUGUUAUUUUUUCGCACAAAUGCAUUAAAGCUAAAGAUGUUGAAU